rnacentral:miRNA from 1 species
UCUCUCUCUCUCUCUCUCUCUCUCUCUCUCUCUCUCCCCCCACACACACACACACACAGAGAGAGAGAGAGAGAGAGAGAGAGAGAGAGAGAGAGA